ensembl:lncRNA
AUCAACUCAAAGGAAAGUGCUGGAAAUCCACACUUGUAACUUCUGGCUAGUUUUUAAAGCACCUUGAAAUUCUUAUAACACUAUUAAUGAUGAUGAAAACAUUAAAAUAUUUACCCAGGUUUUCCUCUAAGUGAUAACUAGGGUGCUUAUAACUGGUAACCAAGUAUUCUAUAACUUUCUUACUGAAUUUUCUUCUGCUUUGCAACACAGACUAAUCUGUAUUAAGUCACCUUUGGUCCAGGUGGUGGAGAAGGAACAAGGAAAAGCAAUAAGCUGUUAAAUGACCUGUCCCAGUGUAGAAAAUCCAAAGGACAGAAUAUGGAAUCAUAUCAGAUGUUUUGUUUACACUUUGUUGGGCAACUUAGGCCCACCUGCUAAGAAAAUAUGUUUAAGUCACCUUCAAGGGUGGCUAAACUUAUUGAUGUUUUAGGUAAUAAAAGAGGCACUCAUUUCAACACAAAAGACUUGGAGUCGAUGGGGUAUCAUUUCUGUGAUUCUCUCUUGAACUACUGUGAUCCAGACCGAACCAAGGUAAGUAAAGUCCAUUUGAUGAUACAUCAGACUCCAGUCUCUCAGAUAACAUAACCUGUCUAUGGGCCUACAGUAGUUUGUUCCUUUUAAUAUCCUAACAGUGUUAGUGUUUUUUGUACUUGAUGUUCCAGGUAUCUAUAAAUAUUCAGUUUAAUUAGGAAAUAGUUAUUUUAUAAUUAACUCAUCUAUCAUUUUCCCCUAGUAUUAUCAGUGCCUGAAAGAAUUAGAAGAAAUGGAAAAACAUAUAAACUUGGAAGAAGUCCUUGAUGAUUCAGAUACUUCUCCGAAAGAAAUUACAUUGGAUCUAGAGUCUAGUGGCCAUGGCUCUGACAGUUCAGAAUCCAGUGACUCUCAGACUGAUCUUCUCAAGUUAAGUUCUCAGAAAAAAAACAAGAAAAAACAUCUGAAAACAAAGAAGGAAAGAAACUCUACCACAGCAAGCCAUCAGAGAAGAGCAAGAGGUUUGUGAAAAAGGAAAUUUAGUUCAAAGACACAAAGAAUCAAAUUCUGAUGUGACAGAUACAAGGCCAGAUAUAUCAGAUGACUGUACAUUUGAUUAUUUCAGAAGACAGUUCCCUAAUCAAGCAAAAAUACCCGGACAAGCCCCUUCUUGGCUUCUAAAAAGAUAUUUGAGAUCUGCAGUACAACUUAAAAAGCAAUAUGAAAGAACGUCCAUCUUUUCAAAGCAAGAAGCCUGGAGUAAACUGGACAGAUGAUGAAAAAAGAAUCUACAGGGAUAAAAAAAAUAGCUGAAACUCAAGAAAUACUGCAGUAUUUGCUCCCCAUCAUGAAAAGCACUAAAAAUGUGCAAACUACUCAGAGAAAACAGACACUCAAUCCAAGAACCAACUUUCAAAUCCAACAUAAGUCAAUACAUUUUGUCAUUCUUAGCUAUUUAAUACAUAUGCUCUUUUAUAAGGAAACAAGGCUUAUUAAAUUCAUCAUCCUAAGAAACAAACAUAGGCUUUUAAAAAUACUGGCAGCUACACCAUGUCUGACAAAGGGAGAAAGGCCCAACGCCUUAAGAAAACACUGGAUAUGUGAAGGAGUAGGUUGUCAGGCCUUAUUUGAUUGUUUGUUUACGUGAAACCGCUCAUUAAUUUGGAUCUAUGAAUAAAGUACGCAUUAAUAAAG